GUUCGGGAUAUUGGAAUGUUCGGAAAGUCAAGUACAGCAGCUCCAAAUACCACGUCGCUGCAAUUGAAAGGAUUGUCAGGACAUCAGAAAAAGGAUUCAGCACUACGGAAUACAGUUAUGCGAAGAAGUUGUGAGGAGUAGACAUCAUGACGGCCGCUACUGCCAUAUCGACUCUCUCUCGCUAACUGUCGUAAGCCACACGCCCAUAUAAUCAAGCUAUGUACACAAGGCAAAGCCUGUCAACAACGAGCACAGCUCCAAACACAACAUCCAAGGUGUGACGAGCAACAACCAUCUCUCAACCAACUCUCCACCUGAAAAUGUUCAAGAAUACCACAAUCAUGCUAACGCAGCAAUCAACCAAGCUUGAUAGAACGAAGCACAAGAAUCAAGAAUACACAUCCGUUUUCAGACCGUGACAAACUGACAACUUAACCAACACUCAACCAUCAACCCAUACGAACUGAAGGAAACUCCGAAGGCAGAACCAGCCCCUUCAGGCUCGGGAUAUUGGAAUACGGGAAAUUCAAGUACAGUAGCUCCAAAUACCAAGUCGCUGCUGUCGAAACGAUAAUCAGGACUUCAAAACGGGCGAAAGAGUUAAGCACCUACGGAGUUUUGCGCAGAAGUUGUGAGGGGUAGACAUUAUGACGGUCGCUACUUCCAUAUCGACUCUCGCAAACUGCCGAAAGCACCAUGCACUAAGAAAUCAAGCUAUGUGAACACGGCCAUGCCGGUCAACUACGAGAAAUCUCCAAAAACAACAUAAAUGGUGUGAUGAGCAACAAAAUUCUCCGCAACUACCUCGCCACCAGAAAAUGUUAAUAAGUACCACAACCAUCAUUGACACAGGAAAGAACCAAGCUUGACAGAACAAGAAAUCAAGAGCAACAACACUUAACCGUUCUCAGAUCGUGACAAACUGACACAUAGCCAUGUAGACUACAAACCGAUGACGAAUAGAAAGAAGUACUGAAGAAGAAGAAACCGUUCGCCGGACGAGAUAAACCGUGCACACAGAAAGCGACAACCAUCACAAUCUCUUUGUAUUUGCACUACGUAGAGGAUUUGAAGCUACUUUCUCAUACUAAUAACUCUUAUUAUCAAAAAAAAAAAAUCCAAAUACAAACAUUCGUAGAAAUUUUCGGGGGUCAGUAAGAAAAUUCAAAAGGAACGCGAAUUGGAGGCGCGGUAAAACCUCUACUCUGGGCUCUUUCUGAUUUAGGAGACUAAAUCCUCCUUUACCUGGAACUCUGCGAAUCACCACGAACCUGUAAAUAAAACCAUCACGUUUUUCUGUAAAUACUUGUACAUAGUAUCGUUUAGUUUCGUUAUCAUUGUUCGAUCUGAAUCCUUUUGCUUAGUAAAGAUUUUUGAUCGUUUCUGCGUGUUUGCUGCAGCAGAAAUUCGUUGAGAGAAGCAAGUUUGAAAUAUUGGUCGGUGACUUUGUCACAUCUUGGUGACGCAACUUUGAUCACCAUUUGCCAGAAUUCGCUGGUGUUACUUUUGGUUAGAAUAAGUAUCUUCGUCUUGUACUAUGUGCACUACUUCUGGUGUGCCUAUAGGGCCACGCAACUAAGUUAGUUAAUAAGUAUUUUGAGUUUAGCUCAAGCCUUCUGAUCAAUAAUAGCUCCGACCAAUUUCAAAGAAAGUUGUAAUUUUUUUCAUGAGCCGCCUUACACCGUCUCAUGAAAAAAAUUUUCUGUUGUGGCAGUGCUGUGUAACAAUUAUAUUUAAACUUGGUUUAUUUAAUCACCUAAACCAAUUCGGAACCAAAAUCAUGUUCAAACAAAUUGCAAACAAUCAAACAUCAAGAAUUUGUCGAGUUAUUUUCUCCGUGUACCAAAUAUGAGAUAAGCAAUCCUAACGAAGACCCACCCUGUCAUCGUCAAAUCGCCAAGAAAAUUUGACACUCAAGCUAGAAAACGUCAAACGUAAACCACCAACUAGACUUCCGUUCAAAGUGUGCUCAGUUGUGCAAGCUGUAAGAACAGCAAAAAAGUAAGCUGCUGCUAAAUUUGUUUGCCCCUGUCGUUGGGAAACACGGCCACGGUUUUUGGAACGGCAAAACAUCACCAGCAGCAACUUGCGCACACGCUUUUCAGAAAAAGCAAAAAGCACCAGCAGCAACUUUGUGCACACGCUAAAGAAAAUCACCGUUGGGAAAUACGGCCACGGUCUUCUAGAACGGCAACACAGCAGAAGCAGCAAAUUUGCGCACACGCUAAACCAAACGGAAAGCCACGCUAAACAAGAAACCGGACCAGACCAUCAGACCAUAAAAGAACCCCUCUGAAAAGGGGUUCUUGUUACUUGAUUCGGAUCUUGAUUCUUGCAUUCUUGAAUCUUGGUUCUUGUUUCGGGUCCCUCGGUCCUUGUUCUUGUUUCUUCUUUUCAUCUAGCUUGAGCUCAUCACAGCACGGAAGGCGGAUAACGAUUCGGAUUCACACAUCCCGAAUAUUCGACAACUCGAAGGACGUCCGGUUCAUCGCGUUUGCUAACGUGAUUUUGGAGCUGAAAGACGGUGGGCACGAUCGAAUUGCUAUUGUGUUGCUCAUCCAGGAGGUUUUGCGACUACGGGGUGCGGUGCACCGAUCAGCUGAAGUGACGCCAAAUCGAGAGCAGCCGGGAAAUCAUCCGGGAAUCGGUGUCAAUCGCCGAAUCACGGAAUUUUGCAACCCGAAUCGUCAAACAUCAUCAGUGGUGACAUCUGGUGACAGGAAUUGGAAGCGAACAAGACGAAGGAGUCUGCGACAGCGAAAAGCAGUCGUUUUUUUCCGUGAGCCACCGGGGUGUGUCAGCCAGCUACUGGAGGCGCAUUUCUCGAUGGCGAACGUGAACAUUGGUCCAAAGAUGACGGGAGCACUCGCCGAGGGAUUGGAAGAAUUAGCAAGGACGUACAAUCCAUCGAGAGAAGCAGUGCGGAAAUUGAAUGUAAGUCAAAAAUCAUAAAUUUGCUUUCUCACAACUAUAUGAUCUCUCGACCAUGAGCCGAUUAGGCAAAAUAAAAAAAUUGUUAACGCAAUGUUUUAAAUGAACAUGAUAAAUUUUGCUUUUGUAAUAUUAUUUGAAAACAAUACUAUUUGUCCUUGGCAACCUUUAAGAGCUAGCCGGCGCCCUGAGGAGAAAACGUUUUGAUUCUUCUCCUGAGGCGAAAACCCUCAAAUUUUACAAGAUUCCAAGUUUUAAAAUGAUUUUAGUAUACAUUCUGCGCUUUU